ensembl:ncRNA lncRNA:CR45256 long non-coding RNA:CR45256
GACCAGUUACUGCUAAUCUUGGUGAUGUAGUGUCGCCAUGUACUGCUUAUUUACCAUAUCGCAUAGUCAGCUCGUGCUCAUCGCACUUGGCUUUCCAUCUGGAAGUGGAAGUGGGUGUGCGUAAGGUGUCAGUGGCACCUACCACGUCGACGUCUCGCAGCACAAGCUGAUACUCCUACAUCAGCACGAACACCCCGCCCUCUUGCCAAAUAGUCUUGGCCAGGAGAUGAUGGAGCCGGGAAUGGAAAUGGGGAUUCAGAUGGAGAUGCAGAUGGAGCCGAGGUUGCGGUGUCUGGGCCUGUUGGCUGUUUUCUGUUUUCUGUUUUCCGCUGGCGAACUGUUGACUGCCAGCUUGCUUGCCACUUCACGGUGAUGCAGGGGAUGGCGGAUGGGUGGGUGGUGCUGGUGGUUGGUGGAUAUACAGCCGGGUUUCCAUUGCAUUUUCGGUCAUUAUUCAACGUCAUUGCAGUUUGCUGCUGCGGUGGCAGCUUCAAUGAUGCAUAAUUUGUAGCGUUAUAUAAAUGCAAACUGUGUUGAUAUUUUUUAUGCUAAUUGCAUGCAA